GAACCUCCUCUGUGAGCAGUAUGGUACUGUCUGUACUUGCUCAGUGAUGUGGAGGGGGCGGGAGGGAAGCAAUUGCAAAAGGUAAUAUGUUAGUGUGUUCACACUUGGACAUUUUCAGACACCAGUUUUCUGCAUCUUGUUUUGCUGUGUAUAUAGUGUAUCUAAAGGACAGAUGAGUCUCAAAUUUGCAACAUCUAGUCUCUCGAUGUUAAAGAGUUGCCAGUGUAUGACCAAAUAGUGAAAUUACCACAUUUGUAAAAAAAAAAAAAAACCGUGGGACAAUGAUAAAAAGGGUAAAUACACAAUGGGGAUUGUAGAAGAAGGAGAAAAAGACAUUGUUGAAGUAGUAAUGGCUGUGGGUUUUUCAAAAUAAUGAUAGAUACCAGACCACAAACUCAGGAAGUUCAGAAAACACAGAAUAAGAUAAACACCAAAAAGUUUAAGCUAAGUGUUUCACACUCAAACUGCAGAAAACAAAAGGAAAAGAGAGGAUCUUGACAUAAGCCACAGCAGGGAGAAACCCCUUACCUACACCCAUCGAGGAACAGGGGGAUCAUACCCGACGCCCCCCUGAAACUAUCCAAGCAAGAAGAGAGAGAAAUGACCUGCAAUCCCAGCAGCUCCGAAGGCUGAGGCAGGAAGAUCGUGAGUUCAAAGCCAGCCUCAGCCGUGAGGACCUCCGAAACUCGGCGAGAAAAAACAAGAAGAAGAGAGGGAAAUAAAAUAUUUAAAAUGUUAUAUUGAAGGGGAAAUUUUUGUUGUUGUUAUUGUUAAAAGCCUAAAAUUUUGCAUCCAGCAAAAUUGUCCUUUGAAGAUGAGGGAGAGCUGGGGAUGUAGCUCAGUGGUAAAGCACUUGCCUAGUGUGCCCAGGGCCCUGGGUUCAAUCCCCAGCAUUGCCCCAGCACCCCUGCCAAAAAAAAAAAAGCGAUACCUCAGAGAGAAGGACGAUGAUGGAGGUUAGAAAUUCACCUCCACAAAAAGGAAGAACAUGAGACAAAGAAAUAAAGAAGGUAAAGUAAAAUCUUCCUCCUUUGUAUACCUACCUGAUCUAUAAAUAACUCUUUGUUCAAAGCAAUAAUAGCAAGAAGGAACGAGGUGAUCAUACCACGUGGAUCAGCACAUGACCGACAGCAGUGUUCUCAGACUCGGAGGGGGGAUUACAGCAAUAAGGCACUUGCACUACCCAUGCACGUAGGUUUUUUUUUAAUUUAAAAAAAAUUGGUUUUGGUUGUAGGUGGACACAAUAUCUUUAUUUUAUUUAUUAAUUUGUUAUGUGGUCCUGAGGAUCCAACCCAGUGCCUCACACACGCUAGGCAAGUACUCUAUUACUGAGCUACAACCCCAACUCCUUUUUAAAUUUUUGAGACAGGGUCUCGCUAAGUUGCAUAGGGCCUCACUUAGUUGCUGAGGCUGGCUUUGAACUUGGGGUCCUCCUGCCUCAGCCUCCCUAGCCCUUGGGAUUACAGGCAUAUGCUAUCAGAUAGCCCAGCUGAAAGUAUUAAUUCUUAACUAUUUAUAUGCACAGCUUAGAUAACCUCACAAACAUGCCGAAUGUAAGAAGAUAGACACAGAAGAGCACAUACUGUGUGAUUUCUUUUAUACAAAGUUCUAGAACUGGCAAAACU
rnacentral:lncRNA from 1 species